UACGGAGGAUCCGAGCGUUAUCCGGAUUUAUUGGGUUUAAAGGGUGCGUAGGUGGAGAUUUAAGUCAGUGGUGAAAGCCUGCAGCUUAACUGCAGAACUGCCAUUGAUACUGAUAGUCUUGAGUUUGGUUAAGGUAGGCGGAAUGUGUAAUGUAGCGGUGAAAUGCUUAGAUAUUACACAGAACACCAAUUGCGUAGGCAGCUUACUGAGCCGACACUGACGCUGAGGCACGAAAGCGUGGGGAUCGAACAGGAUUAGA
rnacentral:rRNA from 1 species